AUAAAUCAACAGCCACCAAAAACAACACCAGGACAAAGUGACUUCUAGGUCUUUGGUCCCAUGAACUCAAGAGAAUGGAAUUUAGAGAGCAGGAAGGUGUGUUUAGGAAGGAAUUUUAUUAUAAGAUUAUAAAUUGGGGCUUGAGAGAAGGGAAGAGAAAGGACUCCUGAAUAGAAGGGGUGGGCCCCAGAGUUUGAGGUACCAUCGAGCUGCUAGCCUAGGGGAGAAGAAGAGAGAAAGGCAUGCCUUUUUUGAGUUGGGGACCAAGGAAGCAGUCACGUUCAGCAUCGGAGGUCUGCAAGCAGCUGCACAGUGGAGCGGGACAGGGGUUAGAAGACUUCAGAGAAUGAGAAAGCCUAGCCUAUCGGGAAAGCGCGCUUAAGCCUUUGGCAGGUGUGAUGGCUAAUCUUGGGUGUCAGCUUGGCACACCUGGGAAGAAGGCACUGAAAUCAGGAACUGCCAUCAUCAGAUUGGCCUGUGACCACGCCUGUGGGGGCGCAUUUUCUUGAUUUCUAAUUAUGUAGGAAGACCCAGCCUACCGAGGGCUGUACCGUCUCUAAGCAGGUGGCCUGGGCUGUAUAAGAGAGUUGGCGGUGAGCCUGGAAGCCAGCCUGGUGCAACAGUGCUCCUUGUGGUCUCAGUUUCAGCUGUAGGGUUCCCUUAGGGAUAGACGGUAACUUGUAAGCCAAAUAAAUAAACCCCUGCCUCCUCCCGCAGCUGGUUUUCCUCAGUGUUUGUUACAGCAACAGAGACUCGAAGUGGGACAUCAGGUGUCUGAAAAGAUAAAAAGGC
rnacentral:lncRNA from 1 species